UUGAUGGUGCUGAAAAUCUCCUUGCCUGUGAUUCUCAUGGAUGAGACACUCAAAUUUGUGGCCCACAACUACCUGGAACCUGGUAAAGGGUAUGUGCAGCCUGCCACCAAAUCCUGCUCAUUGUCAGCAUGCACUGAUGAGAUUUCCUGGCCAUUUGUGCUGCUCGUAAUGCUCCUGGUGAUCUGAGUCUAUAGCAAAGACACUAAUUUUAAUGAUAUGUUCCUGUCU
rnacentral:lncRNA from 1 species